rnacentral:snoRNA from 1 species
AGCAGAUGAUGUCAUUCACAAUUGUCUGCAGAUGCCUCUGUGGGCCAUGCCAACAAUGCCAGUGGCUCAGCUGAUCUCAGGAA